UCCCUGAUGGCUCAGUGGUAAAGCAUUUGCCUGCCAACGCAGAAGACAGGGGUUCGAUCCCUGAUCCAGGAG
rnacentral:tRNA from 1 species